CUAGGGAUUAGAUACCCUAUUAUUUUAAAUGUAAAAUAUUAUAAACUUAAUUAGUAAUAGUUAUAUUCUUGAAAAUUAAAGAUUUUGGCGGUUUUUUAGUCUAUUCAGAGGAAUUUGUCCUAUAAUUGAUAAUCCACGAUUUUAAUUACUUUUUUUAUUAAUUUAUAUAUCAUCGUAGUUUGAAUUUUUUAAAAGAAUAAAAAUGUUCAAUUUUUUUUUAAAAAAAUAAAUCAGAUCAAGGUGUAGUUUAUGGAAAAGAAGAGAUGAGUUACAUUAAAAAUAUUUUAGGAUUAAUUUUUUUAAAAAAUUAUGAAUUUGGAUUUGAUAGUAAUUAAAAUAAAUUUAUUUUAAUGAUUAAGCUCUAAAAUAUGCACAUAU
rnacentral:rRNA from 1 species